ensembl:lncRNA
UGAAAGCAUGCUGCAACCAUGAGAGCAUUUGAAGACUGCCCAGACCCCGUGUCCUGAUCUUUUCCAAAUUCCUGGAGUUUCCCAAGAUCUCCAGAGGGAGACAGUCACUUCAGCAUCAGCCAGAACGGACACCAGGCAAGAAGAAUCAUAAAUUAACAGCAGGAAGGCAGUCUUGGGGCUGAUGGGGGAACACCAUUGUGUAUGCAUGCAUGCACAUGUGUGUGUCUGU